CAGUCGCCGCGGGAAUACGGAGGGUGCAAGCGUUAAUCGGAAUUACUGGGCGUAAAGCGCACGCAGGCGGUCUGACAAGUCAGAUGUGAAAUCCCCGGGCUUAACCUGGGAACUGCAUUUGAAACUGUCAGGCUGGAGUCUUGUAGAGGGGGGUAGAAUUCCAGGUGUAGCGGUGAAAUGCGUAGAGAUCUGGAGGAAUACCGGUGGCGAAGGCGGCCUCCUGGACAAAGACUGACGCUCAGGUGCGAAAGCGUGGGGAGCAAACAGGAUUAGAUACCCCAGUAGUCCCUGUCUCUUAUAC
rnacentral:rRNA from 1 species